AGAAAAGAAUAAUUACUAGAAAAGUUCUUACUAGUUCUUCAGAGGAAGAAACCUCUGAAUCAAUGGUGCUACCAAGGGUACCAGAAGGAUUCACUUAUAAAGGAAAAGCCAACAAAAACAAAGAGAUAACUAAGGGAUCUUCUCAGGUUUAUGUUUCACGAGAAAAAGGUCCCACUCUUAGACCAAGUAAUAGCGAAGCUGAGUGUGAAAG